rnacentral:siRNA from 1 species
ACAUAAUGAAUCAAUUUUAUGAUG